rnacentral:sRNA from 1 species
UGCCUAACCCGUAGCCUUCCGUUACGGUAUGGCUUAAACCCACCACAGUAGAGACCUCCUCGUUAGGAGCACCUGUGGUGGGUCCCAUCUCGAAAGGGAUGGUGGGUGGCGCAAGCCAUC